UCUCUCUCUCUCUCUCUCUCUCUCUCUCUCUCUCUCUCUCUCUCUCUCUCUCUCUCUCUCUCUCUCGCUCUCUCGCUCUCUCGCUCUCUCGCUCUCUCUCUCGCUCUCUCUCGCUCUCUCUCGGAGGACCUGACCCCUAGGACCAUGCCUCAGGACUACCUGACCUGUUACUCCUUGCUGUCCCCAGGCCACCUGGUUGUGCUGCAGCUCCAGUUUCAACUGUUCUGCCUGUGGCUAUGGAACCCUGACCUGUUCACCGGACGUGCUACCUUGUCCCAGACCUGCUGUUUUCAACUCUCUAGAGACAGCAGGUGCGGUCGAGAUACCUUGAAUGAUCUGCUAUGAAAGCCAACUGACAUUCACUCCUGAGGUGCUGACCUGUUGCACCCUCUACAACCACUGUGAUUAUUAUUAUCUGACCCUGCUGGUCAUCUAUGGACAUUUGAAAAUCUUGGCCAUGUUCUGUUAUAAUCUCCACCCGGCACAGCCAGAAGAGGACUGGCCACCCUUCAUAGCCUGGUUCCUCUCUAGGUUUCUUCCUAGGUUCCGGCCUUUCUAGGGAGUUUUUCCUUGCCACCGUGCUUCUCCCCCUGCAUUGCUUGCUGUUUGGGGUUUUAGGCUGGGUUUCUGUACAGCACUUUGUGACAUCCGUUGAUGUAAGAAGUGCUUCAUAAAUACGGUCAGAUGCCAAGCAGUUGCCAUACCAAGCGGUGAUGCAGCAAGUCAAGUUGCUCUCAAUGGAGCAGUUGUAUAACUUUUUGCCAAAUCUUUUCAGCCUCCUGAGGGGGAAGAGGCAUUGUCAUACCUUCUUCUGUGUUGGUGUGCGUGGACCAUGUCAAUUCCUUAGUGAUGUGGACACCGAGGAACUUGAAGCUCUCGACCCGCUCCACCUCAGCACCGUCGAUGUGGAUGGGGGCAUGCUCAGCCCUCCGUUUCCUGUAGUCAACGUGCAUUUACUGGUAACAAAGUGCUCCUUCUCUUCCUCAGCCUCAGCAUCCUCAUCGUCACCGCCAGCGUAAACACAAAACUCUUCAUUCUAACAAACCAUGAAAUUCCAGAUAUAAGGUACAGUAUGUAAAUGUUCCCUGUCAGAGAAGCUCAGCUCCUGUCUGCGUUAUGUUUAGAACUCUGUCCCUCUCCCCCUGAGAGUACGCCACUGCACUGAGCCAUGGAAAUGUCAGCGGUCAAGUUUACAUGGGAAAAGUUGGAAAGCUAAACCGCCGGUCACCCUGGGCCACAGAAAAGACACGGGUGUGUUGCUCUUCCCCAUAGGGGGUAAGAUGUGGAGGUCUGGUCUUACACAGCUAACAUAUGUCAGAACACCUGAGCAGCAGCUAGCCCUCCUCACGACCCGCUCCCCUCCACUCCUCUGCCACUCCUGGGUUAAUGUGCCCCCCAGCCGUGUGGCAGGGCGAGCUGGCCCGCUUCCCUCUCGCCCGGCCAGCCCCCACGCUGGGCAACCACGGCCCACCGACAGCAUCCAUCGCCCUGACAUGACGGAUCACAUAUGGAAGCCUUCCACCACCACCGGCGCACCGGCAUGUAGGGGGCAGGGGGAGCAUGGAUGGGAGGAGAGAGGGAGGGCGAGUUGGUUUUAACACGGCAUAUAGAGAAUCAAGGUUCUCCGCAGCAUUAAACCACACAGCAGAGGAAGAAAAGCGGUCUUCUCCAAACAAAGUUUCCCACCAAUUAACAGUACCCCUCUGUUACACCAAAGGUCCGCAAAGGCCAGAAGAUUUUGACCCAAAGGGACAGAAAAGGAAGGAGAUACACCUUAAAAGAAUAGACAGACAGAGACACAAAGACAGAGAGAGAGACAGACGGUGAAUGGGGGUGAGUGAGGGGACAUUGAGAGAAGAAGAAGAGUGUUCAGACAGCACUUUAUCACUUGCUUUAAAACUCUCAAUCUUCCUCUCGUCUUUAGCAUUUGAAGCGCUAAGGUCCCCAGUGCCAGCAAAGGUCAGGGCUAUGAUUUAUUGGUCUCUUAUGGAGGUGCUGUCUGUAGGGCUGAGCGUUGUGCCAUACGUCUGGACACCAGCCAACAUCACUGGGUUCAACACACUAGAACAGGCUUGGGGUCAAUGCCAUUUCGCUCAAAAUGAUGACUUGUCAUGAAGCAGGAAACUUUCCUUAAUAUGUAGAUUUGUAAAUAAUUUAUUUUCUUAGCCUCCUGAAGUAUGACCAUUUUAUUUGCUUGGCAGCACGCAAGGCCAGAAUCCGCUAUGCUACAUACUCAAAGGACAUCAAUUCUCCUCUCUUUUCUCUCCAACAUGCUCAGAUUGUAAUACAUGUUUAAUAUGAUACAUUUUACAGCGGGAAUAUGAAGCAAAAUACUGUGUAAUUAUUUUUCAAUAUUUUAAUUCAAAUCUUUUUCAGAUCAUGUCCUUGUGAUGCCAAACAUUUAUGAAAUAUGGAGAGUACCCUUGUCAAGUCUAAGUUGAAAAUUAGAUGUUUGUUCAUUUUGAUGUAAAUUAAUAUCCUCCAGUCCAGUACCAUUUUCUUCCUAUUUGUCAAUUCAGUGUUAUUGAUCACUAAUGAUUAAUUCAAGUGAAAAUGUAAUCAUUAUUUUCCUGAAUUGCACUUAAUUUGACAUGACAAGGUCUCACCACAUCAUUGUAAACAUUUUAAUGAUUGUAUUACGUUUCAGGGAGGGCUUUUGCCUAAAAUGUGUGUCUGUAAACCAAAGAAAGAGGAUAUACAUAAUUAUGGUUAAUGGUCCUCAUUUCAUUUAAAGUCGGAAUAACAUAUGCAACACGUUCUUCCUUUAAAUUAUGCAUUCUUCAAGUAGGGUCUUCUCUUUCAUUUGACCCUAUUCAAAACACCAUGACAUUUCAUCACAGUUGUCUUUUUUAAAUACCUACCAAACCAUACCAACACGUGAUCUCUUUAGUUCACUACGGAAAGGGUUAGUCCCUACUGCAUGAGAUGACCAUGGCUGAUGUCAUGUGCUGAUAGCGUCCCCGCUUGAGUCCGUGGUGAGAAAAGCAUUAUUACAUCACAUUGUCUGCUGGGAGAGACCAGCGCUACGCAGUAUGACGCUGGAGCAUUUAUGUGUAUUAAAUCUGAGACUAUAAUUGCUUGAAUAAGAGCGAAAAUGAAAAACAACAUGGUCGUGAUGUGUAACAGAGGCCUGCUGUGGCACUGAAACUGUACACAACACAUACCGUGCAAAUGUCUCUGAACAGAAAUAUAGCAGAUAGAACAGAUGCCGUGUUGUCAGUAAUGGUCACGUUCAAUUACCAUGCAUUGUAGGCCUACACUGGAUCAUGCUGUAGGUCAGUAGGAAAAGCCUCAAAGCCAUUAUGUGGUACUAUUUGUUGCUGUAGUACAGUAUGUAGACUAUAUAUAUACUGUAUAUAUACACUACCGUUCAAAAGUUUGGGGUCACUUAGAAAUGUCCUUGUUUUUGAAAGAAAAGCACAUUCUUUGUCCAUUAAAAUAACAUCAAAUUGAUCAGAAAUACAGUGUAGACAUUGUUAAUGUUGUAAAUGACUAUUGUAGCUGGAAACAGCAGAUUUUUUAUGGAAUAUCUAGAUAGGCGUACGUAGGCCCAUUAUCAGCAACCAUCACACCUGUGUUCCAAUGGCACGUUGUGUUAGCUCAUCCAAGUUUAUGAUUUUAAAAGGAUAACUGAUCAUUAGAAAACCCUUUUGCAAUUAUGUUAGCACAGCUGAAAACUGUUGUUCUGAUUAAAGAAGCAAAAAAACUGUCCUUCUUUAGACUAGUUGAGUAUCUGGAGCAUCAGCAUUUGUGGGUUUGAUUACAGGCUCAAAAUGGCCAGAAACAAAGAACUUUCUUCUGAAACUCGUCAGUUUAUUCUGGUUCUGAGAAAUUAAGGCUAUUCCAUGCGAGAAAUUGCCAAAAAACUGAAGAUCUCGGACAACGUUGUGUACUACUCCCUUCACAGAACAGCGCAAACUCUAACCAGAAUAGAAAGAAGAGUGGGAGGCCCCUGUGCACAACUGAGCAAGAGGACAAGUACAUUAGUGUCUAGUUUGAGAAACAGACCCCUCACAGGUCCUCAAUUGGCAGCUUCAUUAAAUAGUACCCGCAAAACACCAGUCUCAACAUCAACAGUGAAGAGGUGACUCCGGGAUGCUGGCCUUAUAGGCAGAGUUCCUCUGUCCAGUGUCUGUGUUCUUUUGCCCAUCUUAAUGUAUACUUUUUUUUGGCCAGUCUAAGAUAUGGCUUUUUAUUUGCAAUUCUGCUUUUCUUUAAAAAACAAGGACCUUUCUAAGUGACCCCAAACUUUUGAACGGUAGUGUACAUAAUGUUGUAAUGCAGUUGAGUUAUGUUUCAGUUGUGUUAUGUUUCAGUUGUGUUAUGUUUCAGUUGUGUUAUGUUUCAGUUGUGUUAUGUUUCAGUUAUGUUAUGUUUCAGUUGUGUUAUGUUUCAGUUGUGUUAUGUUAUAUUUCAGUUGUGUUAUGUUUCAGUUGUGUUAUGUUAUGUUUCAGUUGUGUUAUGUUUCAGUUGUGUUAUGUUAUGUUUCAGUUGUGUUAUGUUUCAGUUGUGUAAUGUUUCAGUGGUGGUUGAGUUCUAAGGUGUUAUUGUACAGCUGCUCUGUUAUUGCGCCACCCUCCCUCCUCUCCUCACUGGCUUCCAGGACAGCGAUAGCGAAAUGUUUAGCUGCAUUCAACAUGAAAGACUGUCUCUCUCUGCUGACAUAUGACUUGAAAAAGCGGCCACCAGUUUGUUUUCAAGAGGGGAGGAAAUUGAACACAACCGCCAUUUGAAGUGUGGAUUGAGAGACUGGUUUCUGAAGUGAAUGAACUGACGACAAAAUUCGGCGAGGAGAGCUUCCCCAUGUCAUGAAAACCAUUGGGCUCUUUAAAGCUUCCUAUGUCACAGUUGCAGAGAACAAAAAUAUAUAAGGGUGUAUUUAAAGGUCUAUGUUGGAGGAAGGUUACACGUCCUCUGCACUUCCAACAAAGGACCAUAACCUUCACCAGUGGAGAGAAAGGUUCCCUGAUGUUAAGCCACAAACUAAAACUGAGAACUCUGGUUGAGCCAGAGACUCUGACCUUCCUUCAGCAAACCUUAAAAUCGCUUUCUCUCUCUCUGACUCGACUCUAAGUGUUGAACAGUCUUGAACAAAGAGCUACGAUGCCCCACACUCUGCUGGCCUGGUCAGACAGAAAGCUCAAGAUUCCAUAUUGAGAAGCCCAAAGACAGGCUAAAUGUCAAUGCUACCCAAGGUUAAAAUGACCAUGCACUGUCAGUGUGUGAGUAUUGUUUUUAAUGCGAUUGAUUGCUAGAAAAAUACAUAUAUUAAAAACUCCCUGUAAAAACA